AUUGAACGCUGGCGGCAUGCCUUACACAUGCAAGUCGAACGGUAACAGGUCUUCGGAUGCUGACGAGUGGCGAACGGGUGAGUAAUACAUCGGAACGUGCCUAGUAGUGGGGGAUAACUACUCGAAAGAGUGGCUAAUACCGCAUGAGAUCUACGGAUGAAAGCAGGGGAUCGCCAGACCUUGUGCUACUAGAGCGGCCGAUGGAAGAUUAGGUAGUUGGUGGGAUAAAAGCUUACAAAGCCGACGAUCUGUAGCUGGGCUGAGAGGACGAUCGGCAACACGGGGGCUGAGAAACGGACCAGACUCCUACGGGAGGAAGCAGUGGGGAAUUUUGGACAAUAGGCGCACGCCUGAUUCAGCAAUGCCGCGUGCAGGAUGAAGGCCUUCGGGUUGUAAACUGCUUUUGUACGGAACGAAAAGCCCCGGGUUAAUACCCUGGGGUCAUGACGGUACCGUAAGAAUAAGCACCGGCUAACUACGUGCCAGCAGCCGCAGUAA
rnacentral:rRNA from 1 species